UCCCCAAUAGCUCAGCUGGUAGAGCAAGUGACUGUUAAUCACUGGGUCGGCGGUUCAAGUCCGUCUUGGGGAGCCA
rnacentral:tRNA from 1 species